rnacentral:rRNA from 1 species
CAGUAGCCACGGUAAUACGAAGGGGGCUAGCGUUGUUCGGAAUUACUGGGCGUAAAGGGCGCGUAGGCGGCCAUUCAAGUUAGAUGUGAAAGCCCUGGGCUCAACCUAGGAAUUGCAUUUGAUACUGUUUGGCUUGAGUUCGGGAGAGGUGAGUGGAAUUCCCAGUGUAGAGGUGAAAUUCGUAGAUAUUGGGAAGAACACCAGUGGCGAAGGCGGCUCACUGGACCGACACUGACGCUGAGGCGCGAAAGCGUGGGGAGCAAACAGGAUUAGAUACCCCCGUAGUCCCUGUCUCUUAUAA